rnacentral:rRNA from 1 species
GACGAACGCUGGCGGCGUGCUUAACACAUGCAAGUCGAACGGAAAGGCCACUUUCGGGGGGUACUCGAGUGGCGAACGGGUGAGUAACACGUGAGUAACCUGCCCUUGACUUUGGGAUAACUUCAGGAAACUGGGGCUAAUACCGGAUAGGAGCUCCUGCUGCAUGGUGGGGGUUGGAAAGUUUCGGCGGUUGGGGAUGGACUCGCGGCUUAUCAGCUUGUUGGUGGGGUAGUGGCUUACCAAGGCUUUGACGGGUAGCCGGCCUGAGAGGGUGACCGGCCACAUUGGGACUGAGAUACGGCCCAGACUCCUACGGGAGGCAGCAGUGGGGAAUAUUGCACAAUGGGUGGAAGCCUGAUGCAGCAACGCCGUGUGCGGGAUGACGGCCUUCGGGUUGUAAACCGCUUUCGCUCAUGACGAAGCUUUGUGUGACGGUAGUGGGUAAAGAAGCACCGGCUAACUACGUG